rnacentral:rRNA from 1 species
CCCGCACAAGCGGUGGAGCAUGUGGUUUAAUUCGAUGAUACGCGAGAAACCUUACCAGGGCUUGACAUAUACAGGAAUGUUGUAGAGAUACAGCAGCCGCUUGCGGUCUGUAUACAGGUGCUGCAUGGCUGUCGUCAGCUCGUGCUGUGAGGUGUCGGGUUAAGUCCCAUAACGAGCGCAACCCUACCUUUAGUUGCCAUCAGGUAAUGCUGGGGACUCUAAAGGAACUGCCUACGCAAGUAGUGAGGAAGGCGGGGAUGACGUCAAAUCAGCACGGCCCUUACGUCCAGGGCUACACACGUGCUACAAUGGCCGAUACAGAGGGCAGCUACCUGGUGACAGGAUGCAAAUCUCCAAAGUCGGUCUCAGUUCGGAUCGGAGUCUGCAACCCGACUCCGUGAAGUUGGAUUCGCUAGUAAUCGCGCAUCAGCCAUGGCGCGGUGAAUACGUUCCCGGGCCUU